UUGCAAGCCUCAAGUAUGAUCAGGUCUGGGGUGACCCUGUGCAUUCUUAUAGUGCUUGCAAGAACAUUAGGAAAUGAUUUGAGGCCUUACUCUGCUCCAUUAAGAGGAAAGUUACAGAAGUUUCAGACAAUU